CGGGGUGUAGUGAAUCGGCUAUCACGCUCCGUUCGGAACGGAGAGGCACGCAGUUCAAUUCUGCGCACCCCGA
rnacentral:tRNA from 2 species